UACAGAGGGUGCAAGCGUUAAUCGGAAUUACUGGGCGUAAAGCGUGCGUAGACGGUUAUGUAAGUCAGAUGUGAAAGCCCCGGGCUCAACCUGGGAAUUGCAUUUGAGACUGCAUAGCUAGGGUGCGGAAGAGGGAAGCGGAAUUUCCGGUGUAGCGGUGAAAUGCGUAGAUAUCGGAAGGAACACCAGUGGCGAAGGCGGGUCUCUGGGCCGAUACUGACGCUGAGGAGCGAAAGCGUGGGGAGCGAACAGG
rnacentral:rRNA from 1 species